UUCUUCUUCUCCCCAAAGGCCCCCCAGUACAAAGCUGUAUAUUCUAGUUGUAGGUCUUUCUAGUUGUGUUAUGUGGGAUGCUGCCUCAACACGACUUGAUGAGCAGUGCCAUGUCUGCACCCAGGAACGAACCAGCGAAACCCUGGGCCGCCGAAGCAAAGCCCGCAAACUUAAUCACUCAUCCAGGGGGCUGGCGCCACAUUUGUGCAUUGUUAACCAAGAAUCUGAUUUAACCAUUCACCGUUGGUGUGAUACAUUCCAAGGUUACUCCUUCAAGGCAACUGCAACAUCCCAAAGGACCUGAUAAUGACCUCCUUAAAAUACAACCAUCAAAGAAGAUAGUGCGCCUAUUUCCCAGCUUCUGUGGGCAGGAGUUGACAGCUGACACAUGAUGCAAGUUGGACUAAUCAGAGGGAAGCAGAGAAUUUGUUGAUGAUUAUGGGAAGAAAGGUGAACGAGGAAGCAGGUAGCCCAGGCGACUGUUGGGACCCAUCCUAAAACUCUGAUGAGAGCCACCAUACUGAAAGUUAGAGCUGGAAAUCUGGACAGACAAGUCCUGCUGGCAUUUUAAGCCUCUGAGCAGCCCGUCACCUAAGCCCUCUCGUACAUGAGCAGAAAAAUGUCCCUUUGUGAUUUAAGUCAGCUUGAGCUGAGUUUUCUCUUGUUUGCAAUUGAAAGUAUCCUAAUUUAUACAAGGACCUUAAUACAUACCAACUGGUUAACGUCUGGUUCCAAAGAGUUCACCCAUCCACUCAAAGGUAAGACAAAGACUGAAAGCCAGGGACUUGGAGUGCCAUCUGGAGACUUUUUGUUAACUUUCCACAGAAGGUCUCAAAAUUCUCAUUUUAAUCUCCAAUCACAAUUGUAGUUCCCUUUCAAACCUGUGUAUGAUGAUCCCAAACCCCUGUGUAAAACAGUUUGUUUUAUUAUUUGUUUCUCAGGAAAAAAAUUAAAAAAAAAAAUAAGGCAACUAUCUAUAUAAAAAUGAAACCCUUAAUAUGUCCUUGAAACUAUUGUUCUAUUGUCAAACAUCAGUUAAGUAUUUAAUCUGAACCAGGUUUUGUUCAAGAGAUUGGAACAGAAUACCCCUCACAGUCUGAUGAUAAGAAGUAAAGGAACAAGUAUAACAAGUAACAUAUAUAGCAAGUAAAUGAAUAUAUGAUUACAGUAGACAACUUAUAGACUCACUUGCCAAGGACCAUCUACCUCACUGACCUGCCAUAGUGCUCCUGGCUGCAUCUUCAAAACAAAGCCCUGGCAGAGUCAAGCCUUUUUUACCGACAAAGAAGGAUGACUUUAUUAGAGCAACAAGAAGCAGAGACUCUCAGAGCCUGAAGCAAAGGAACAGAGCGGACGGCCGAUGUGAGGAGGUAGACCCCAGGGGGUCCAUGAGGAAGGCAAGAGGAUAGUGAAGUCCUGUGGUCCUGGGGGAUGGAGGCACCUCGAGGGACCAAAGGAGAACAAAGGAAAUCCAAGUCAUUUGGUAGAAUUUACUUCUAGAAAGUAAUCAUGGAAAGAAAUGGGUGGAAAGUGGUUGGUUCUCACAGGUUAAUUCAGAAAACUUUAAGGGCAGACAAGGGUUUUAGCGAGUAAUAUAUA
rnacentral:lncRNA from 1 species